GACGAACGCUGGCGGCGUGCCUAACACAUGCAAGUCGAGCGGAGUCAGUAAGAGGAAGUUUUCGGAUGGAAUCUUAUUGGUUUAGCGGCGGACGGGUGAGUAACGCGUGAGCGACCAACCUUGCACAGGGGGAUAACGGACCGAAAGGUUCACUAAUACCGCAUGAGACCACGGUGUUGCAUGACACAGUGGUCAAAGGAGCAAUCCGGUGCAAGACGGGCUCGCGUCCGAUUAGGUAGUUGGAGGGGUAACGGCCCACCAAGCCUAUGAUCGGUAGCCGACCUGGGAGGGUGAUCGGCCACAUUGGAACUGAGAUACGGUCCAAACUCCUACGGGAGGCAGCAGUGGGGAAUAUUGGGCAAUGGGGGAAACCCUGACCCAGCAACGCCGCGUGAAGGAAGAAGGUUUUCGGAUUGUAAACUUCUGUCCUUGGUGAAGAGAAGAAGACGGUAGCCAAGGAGGAAGCCCCGGCUAACUACGUGCCAGCAGCCGCGGUAA
rnacentral:rRNA from 1 species